rnacentral:rRNA from 1 species
UGGGGAAUAUUGGACAAUGGGGGGAACCCUGAUCCCGCCAUGCCGCGUGUGUGAAGAAGGCCUUAUGGUUGUAAAGCACUUUAAGCGAGGAGGAGGGUACUGGUAUUAAUACUACCAGGUACUGGACGUUACUCGCAGAAUAAGCACCGGCUAACUCUGUGCCAGCAGCCGCGGUAAUACAGAGGGUGCGAGCGUUAAUCGGAUUUACUGGGCGUAAAGCGCGCGUAGGUGGUUCGUUAAGUUGAAUGUGAAAGCCCCGGGCUCAACCUGGGAACUGCAUCCAAAACUGGCGAGCUAGAGUAGGGCAGAGGGUGGUGGAAUUUCCUGUGUAGCGGUGAAAUGCGUAGAUAUAGGAAGGAACACCAGUGGCGAAGGCGACCACCUGGGCUCAUACUGACACUGAGGUGCGAAAGCGUGGGGAGCAAACAGG